GGAGUUGACGGUGACUGUUGGUGGUGAAUGAGUCGUAUACAUGUAAUCAGUAUCUGGAAUUCUGAGAUUCAU
rnacentral:snoRNA from 1 species